UACGAAGGGGGCUAGCGUUGCUCGGAAUCACUGGGCGUAAAGCGCACGUAGGCGGAUUGUUAAGUCAGGGGUGAAAUCCUGGAGCUCAACUCCAGAACUGCCUUUGAUACUGACGGUCUUGAGUCCGGGAGAGGUGAGUGGAACUGCGAGUGUAGAGGUGAAAUUCGUAGAUAUUCGCAAGAACACCAGUGGCGAAGGCGGCUCACUGGCCCGAUACUGACGCUGAGGCACGAAAGCGUGGGGAGCAAACAGG
rnacentral:rRNA from 1 species